CCUACGGGAGGCAGCAGUGGGGGAUAUUGCACAAUGGGGGGAACCCUGAUCCAGCGACGCCGCGUGAGCGAAGAAGUACCUCCGUAUGUAAAGCUCUUUUUGCAGGGAAGAAAAUGACGGUACCUGACUAUUAAUCCCCGGCUAAAUCCGUGCCAGCUGCCGCGGCACUACGGAUGGGGCAAGCGUUAUCCGGAUUUACUGGGUGUAAAGGGAGCGUAGUUGGGUUGGCAAGUCCGGUGUGAAAAGCCGGGGUCCAACCGCGGGCCUGCAGUUGAAACUGGCGGGCUGGAGUGUCGGAGGGGCAGGCGGAAUUCGUAGUGUAGCGGUGAAAUGCGUAGAUAUUAGGAGGAACACCGAUGGCGAAGGCAGCCUGCUGGACGGUGACUGACGCUGAGGCUCGAAAGCGUGGGGAGCAAACAGGAUUAGAUACCCCUGUAGUC
rnacentral:rRNA from 1 species